rnacentral:tRNA from 1 species
UCCCUGGGGGUCCAGUGGUUAAGACUCUGCACUCUCAAUGCAGAGAGUCCAGGUUUGAUCCCUGGGUUAGGAA